rnacentral:lncRNA from 1 species
GUCAGGAUCUGAGUUAGUUCCAGUUUUUAGGAGAAAUCUUGAAUGUAAACUCUACCCCUCCCAACCAGUUUUCCCCUCAGCUCCUCCUCUCCCCUCAAGCCCCGCCCACAAACAGACGCUCCUGCUCGCUCGUAUCGUUCCAAUUAAAUUCAGAUAUAAUGCAGAUAAAUACUUCAGAUCAUUACAAAUGGGGCCCAGUCAAGGUGAAAGUCAAAAGCAUUGGUGCUACUGUAGAUGCCAACAGACUACCAGCAAACACAAUGUUUGCAGGACUUCUACAACGAGGAUAAAGUGACAUAGUCCAGGACCCGAGGUCAACGGUUUAGCGAUGGCGCUACAACACGCUACAGCAGGUCCGUUUGACAAGAAACACUUCUGUUACAGACACUUGUCUUACUUUGUUAAAGCGGUUUACCUGUCCAGCAGAAAGGUUACAGGGUCACCAAGAUCCCCAAGCGUCCCCCAUGGUUUAUGUUGACCCGGCUUUUUAGCUCUUGUCCGGUCUACCUCCGUUUUAAGCGCCCGUUAUUCCUCCAGAGUCUCCGGUAUUUACUUUGUUUUCUUGCUUGUGUCGGCAGUCGUGGCCAAAGGAGGAUUCAGACAAUUUUCCGAACUUUCUGGUUGGUUUCUACUGUCCGAUAUUGUAGCACGCUAACUUUGUUUGGGCUCCUGAACGACACGGGGGAGCAGCGUCUGCCUCACAACCAAUCAGGUUAGAGGAGGUGGAGAACGGCUUUGUUUACAGUCAGAAAGAGCGGACCGCUCAAAAAUGUUCAAAUGUUGACGACACAGACAUAAGAGAACACAGAGAUAUCAAUAUAUUACCAAAUGUCAUCAAUAACUAAUAACUAUUGACUGAUGUUAAAAUCUUUUUUUGUAAAUACACCACAAAUAAAGAUGCUUCUUUAACGAAAUGUCCAUGGACAGCCUCCAUGGAUUGGACUUGGUGGUCUAGCACAUCCACAGAUGCUGGAUUUGUUCACGGUAUUUACACACCGCAAGGUCAAAUAUGUGUCAGCCAUAUUUCUCAGACACCAGAUCACGCUCUCUUCAGGCUCCUCCGGGUCAACAGUCGAAGUCUACUUCCUCUAAAACUUCCUUCUGAGUGCAUCUGAAUUUCCCUUUUUACCUUUUCCUUGAAUUUCUUGGAUAUCCACACUGCUAAUGCAGAAGGAAGCAGAUGUUGGAGACAUCAUUCACCGCAGACUCCAUUUACAGCCAUUCGGGCUAAAAGAUGUCCCUCUCUUGCUCUUUAGGCCUCUGUUCUAGCUCACCUAGAAGCCAUUAGUGACCUGAGGGACCCAUGUGGAGCUGAUGGACCUUCGCUUACGCUCGGAGGACCCGCGUGUACGUGGAGAACGCUGCCGUUCGAUCAAUAAAAGGACGGUGAGGCGGUUCAGCUCAGGCAACACAAUGAGUAUCAGUUGUUUCCUCCGUCUGAGCCCUGAGCUGCAUUUUCCUGCGGCGAACCCUCCUCUUCAGCCGCCUACCCGCCGCAGAUAAUGAUAAAGGCCGUGAAUUGAAGCCAUAAAUUACCUCCUAAUGUUGAAGAGUGUGAUGAUUAAUCACUCCACAAAGUCUCCACUGAGGAGACACAAAGAUGCGUCUCCUCAGUGCCAAACAGCUCCUCUGUGUUGGCUGCCGAUGAUUUACAGCUCGCCCGGGCGGUUCAGCGUUCGGCUCGGCUGUCGGAGGCUGAAUCAGAAAAGCGUUUGGAGAUGCCAGGUUGACAAAGAGCACAAGACAAAGUCUGCGGCACCUGUGAAAAGCUGCAUUAUGGACACGUUUCGCUGAUGAUGACGCGCUCUCUCCCGCUUCUGUCAGAGGCAAUAAUGGCCAUCCGGUCAGAGACGCGCUCCAUAAAUCAAACAGACUGCCGGUUUGUUUACCCGCCGGGGUUGGAGAGAGGUCUGAAACAGCAGUAUCUGUCCCCGCCAGCUGUUCCAAGCCCUCUCUGUCUCUCGCAGCCUCUGCUAAUCUCAGCUUUCCAACUUUCUUUAAUUCUGCCUCUGCUUUGUCCUCCUCAUAAAGACUUUUUGGAAACUUUACCUCGCUGCUCUGCCUCUGGAAAUUUCCCUGCACCCUGUCUGCUAUCUGCUGCCAGAGUCCUGACUCGGUGUGCUCUCCUUAAUUCGCUCUUUUUUCUGCUCCUCCCGGAAGAGCUGAGAGGAAACUGUUGGUUUAACAAACCAGGGGGUUGUGGGUAAACAGGUACCUCCUUGACUUGCCUGUGUGUGUCCAGUGUAAACAGCACAGUCGGCACGAGAGGAAGCCUUCGCUCACACAGCGAGCUCACCGGGCGAUCACAGGCUGUUUGUGUUUGUCUGAAAAUGACUGAAAAGGUUUUUUUUUUCUCUGUUUGGAUUCCUGCUCCGGUCCUUAAACACUCGAACUCAGAUCUAAACCAGAUACUUUUAAAGGCGCCUGUCUGUUUUUUAUGGAGUCCAGAACAGGUUUGAGAGUUUUGUACAUUUUUUCAUUCCAAUAAUCAGAAUUUAAUCAACCAAAAAUAAGAGAAACUUUGUCAUUUUUUGGUCAUCCUGGAGGAUUUCUCAACCUUGUGUUGUCUAUGAGGGGCAUUUACGAUCCAUGUAUUAUCCGUCCAUUUAAUUAUUCCGUUCAAUCUAGUAACAAAAGAUGAAAAAUGAGUCAAUAUUUUGUUUAUUUGUUUUUCUAUAUAACCAAAAAUAAAAUAUUAGUGUUUGUUUUUGUAUUUUCAGCUCAAAACAGAAUAUGUAACAGAAAAGGAAACGAAAACAAAAUAAACCUUAUUUACGAUUAUUGAUUUUAAGUGCGCCUGUUUUGAGCAUACGUGCAUGGAGGCUACACUGGCCUUCCCAUGAUCCUCAGCGACAGUUACCAUGGCGAAAGAUGCGACAGAGCGGUUUGAUUGCCAAAACCUUCCGUUGUAACAGAGCUCUGGUUGUAAUUUUUUCGACAGUCAUAUCUUCCUCCUUCAGCGUCACCCUCCUGGCGGCUUUGAAUAAUACGUAGGAUGAUGCGUCCGUCUCCAUGACAACAGGUUAGCCUUUCUCGACCGCUCUGGUCUGGAGUUUUUGGUCCAUGUUGUUGGUGACUUUGUUGCGAACAGUAGAAAGGCACUGUGGGAAAUGAGGACAUCAAUAACCCGAAAACAAAAAGUAGAUUUAUUAUUUUGUUUUCAUUUCCUUCUCUGUUAUAUAUUCUGUUUUGAGCUGAAAAUACGAAAACAAACACUGAUCUUUUAUUUUUUGGUUAUAUAGAAAAACAAAUUAACAAACUAUUGACUUGUUUUUUCUUUUACUUGAUUGAAUGGAAUAACUGAAUGAACGGAUAAUACAAGGACUAUUUACCAUUUCUGUUUAACAGAUUUGUUGUUUAUUUCAACGCUGGCCUGGGCUAGGAUCACUUUUAAAGUUCUCAAUAUAUGUUGAAAAUAUGAGAUAAUAACAGAUUUUACAGUUACAGUUAUACAGUAAUGUGCCGUGAGCAACAAUUGGACAAAAACUGUAAACAACAGGCGAUGGUCGGUGUUCUUGGCGGCCAACGGAUUUUCCUUUUCAAACGAAAAAAACGACCAGUAGAGAUUCAGGAAACAGAAAACAAACCGUUUUUCAUUUUGAUCAGUUUUCGACUUUACGUGAUUUGACUUUAAACGGAAAUCGAAGAUCGAAAUACGUGUGUGGAAAUCUUGUGUUUCAAGUUUCAUUCACUUUUUUGUUGUGACCCGGAAGUCUUGUUAGCAUAGCAGCGCCCUCAGAAAUAAGGUGUGAGGAGGAAUAAGAACUAACCCAACAAUAGGAAAACGCCCGUUAUUAAAAAACUGUCACCGUGAUUGAAAAUCUAUUAACUUAAUAAUUUUGGUAAAAAGGUUUGUUUUCCGUUUUCCAAUUCCCUUCUGGUCGUCUCCUGAUUUUGUUUUUUCAUUUGAAAACAAGAAUCUGUUGGCCGCAAAAAGUCUCUCAUACGACACAAACAUGUCGAAUGAUGGGCAGGUAACAUUGUCAACGAUAAAUAAGGGACUUAAAAUCACAAUUUUUACAGGCAAGAAAUUCAACACAACAGCGGUGUUUUGCUUACUUGUUAAACUGGCUUAUCUUGUUUUGUGCACCUGCAGUAAGUCGUCAUGAGAUCAGAUAAUUACGGCCAAACAAAAAUCACGAUGACAACAUGAUCGCUAACAUUUACUCAAACCAACACAAUUGGUUUUUUGGAGGUUAAAGAGGACGAACAGGUCAGAGUUAAAUCCUCCCAUCUGUCAACCAGUUAGUAACCUGAUGUUAGAAAACACUUAGUUUAACAUUUUCCAUUUCUUAAAUUAUAGUUUUGUCAGAACUGUUUUACUCUGGGGGCAAAAACAAGUCCUUUUUGAAGCCCUUAAUAAAUCUGUCAUGAAGUCUUUGAUUCUAAAGACGAGAACCAAGUUGUUCCCAUCAUUUAUUUACCGAGCCGUUUGCAAAACCAAAGAUAUUCGACCAGAAUUAGCCUAAUUAUUCUGCGUCGCGGUACGUACAGUUCCAUAAUUAUACACAAAAAGCAUCAGCACAGCAAUUAUCAGCGGGUACACGGUGUUUCUUUAAACAUCAGCUGAUAACUCGGUGUCCUGGUGCGGCUGUCACAAUAAAAUGACCCGAAGAAAACCUCGGGGCACAAACUUUAGUCUGACUCACCGCUUCUAUUACUUUUAUGUUGCUCAUAUUAAAAUGUAGAGUCGUGAAAAAAAUAAACAUCCGGGUAUCACAUCAUACCUGCUCCUGUUUUGACCCCACUGCUUAUAAGAGUGUGUUUUUUUUCUCUACGUUACAUAAACUCAGAUCAGAUUCACAGCUUCCAAUGUUCUGUACGGACAGUUGGAGGACUUUGGAUCAGUUAGAUCACCAGGAUUGUGGCCAGUUGGUCGUUGUUUUCUCCAGAAAAUCAAAAACAUUUUUCUCCUUCAUCACCGACCGAGCAUUUCUCUCUGAUUUCUCAGACUUUUUUGUAACAGAGAGGUUUAUGUUUGUUGGAGUUACGCAGGUCGAACAUUUCAGACGUUAAAUGAUAAGAAAUUUUAGAAGUAGUGUGUGCAGAAAAAUCAAACAUUAAAGCAGCAGAAGAAAAUGUUUGAACCUGUUUUCCUACAUGCCAGUUCUGACUGAGUUCAGCAGAGUCAGCAACAUGCUGUUUCUGUGCAGCUGUGAAGCUCUUUCCAAAACCAGGCCUGAUACUAAGUCCAUUUUUGGGUUUGGUGGUCUGGCUGGUGGUUCAUCAACAGAACAUAUAGGGUCACAGACAUAGUACUAGACACCAAACAUCUUUUUAACUUUGACUCAUUUCUUUAGCAAAGAGACUAAACACAACUCACCUACUCUCUUCCAGCAGCCGCUGGUUUGUAGCGAGACCUCAGGCCAGUCCAUUACAGACUACAGCGGGGUGACGCAGCUCAAGGAAGAACAUUUAUGAUCAUUUCUUCAUGGAAAUACAAUCAGACCGAGACGCUAAGACAGAAGAACUACCGCGUCUGCAGAGCAAAAUGAUUAAUAUGGUGAUUAUUACUUCAAGGAAAUGAUAAAGAAAUUAUCAUAAAUGUUCUUUCUUGAGCUGCGGCACCCCGCUGUAGUCCGUUGAUGAAGUUAGGUGCUGUUCUGAGCAUUAUUUGUGGCUAUAGAGUGGCGUUUUGGUUGAGCGUGUGACUCUUUGUAUUUCUAUCCUGUGGUCGUUACUAAAGUUGGUAAAACUAGAGAAGCAAGCGGUCGACAACAUCUCUGGAGGGGGGGUCUAACUCAGUGUUACGGUGUGUUUGACCCUAAAUCAAUUUUACGCCGGAAUAUCCCUUUAAAUGAUAAGAAAUUUCAGAAGUAGUGUGUGUGGAAAAAUCAAAAAUGAAAACAGCAGAAGAAAAUGUUUGAACCUGUUUUCCUACAUGCCAGUUCUGACUGAUUUCAGCAAAGUCAUCAAUGUUCUGUUUCUGUGCAGCCGUGGAGAUCUUUCCAAAACCAGACCUGAUACUAAGUCCGUUUCUGGAGGUGGUGGUCUGACGGAUUCAAGAGCAUCCAAACUCUUCAGUUCCUAUUCAAAACCAAUUCUUAUCAAGGUCAGUAAUGUCAUCAUGUACGAUUUCUGGUGCAGCCGUGUCGCCUUUUUUAGUGCAACAUGUUUACGACCGUAUGGAAUUUGCAGUCCUGCUAUCAGACAUCGGUCAGGGAGCUCCGCCCCCGUCUGCUGAUCACUUUGAAUUAUCAAUCGAACCCUUUGACAGUACGUCACAGUUUAUUCAGUCGCUCCAGCUUGUGUGUGUGAGUCGUGGCUGCAGCUCUGGUGCUAAUCUUCUAAGUUUCAGUGUUUUUGACUUAUUUUCUGCGUUUGAGGAAAAUCAGCCAAAGAUUUACUUUCGAAACCGUUCACAGAGAUGCUCAGAGGUGACGCUGCGCUAACCUUUCACUGAGCGCUAACAAAGGAAAAGCUUUUACCCGUUUUAUGAGCGGGACUGUGUGUCUUAAUUGACACCUCCUGAGCCCAUUGUUGAACCUCUUCAUAUUCUCGGUUGGAAAACAUCGUCUCAGGCCGAGACGGAGACAAAGAGAUUCAUUUUCAAAUGAAUCCACAGUAAUUCAAGCCCAAUGAGAUUCCUUCAACGUUGUCUCCACUCGGCUGCUCGUCUCCUCCCCUCCAGAUGAAGCUGCAGAGCCUGGCAGCCCAACACAAGCUGCAAUUGAUUCAAAAUCCUCAGCGGCAAAACAGACAAAGGGGUCAUCUAUUAUCCUCGCCGUCCUCGCCCCGUGUCCCCCUCUCCCCUCUUCGCCUCUCCUCAACCCAUCUUUGGCGGUCACCCGUUAAAAAGAAACUCUGGGGACGCCGUAGAGCUCUCUGCACCGCCGGCCUCGCUCCACUUCUCCGAGGCCGGGGGCCGGGGCUAAUUGGCGGAUCCACCAGGGAGUCCUCCAACCGCCAAGCCAGCCAGCCAGGGGGCCCAUUUGCAAGCAUGUGAUCUCAGCUGAAUAGGGGCGAGAGCCAGAGACGAAGGAGGAGGAGGAGGUCGGGGGAGGCUGGUGGGUCUAGAGGACAUGGGAGAAGUGAUUCCCAUGGGGUGUGUGGGUGGAAGAAACGAGAGGGGGAAACUUCUGAAGCGCUCUCCGCGCUGAGAAACCGCUCUCUCUCAGUUUUCUCUGCAGCGAAUUUAAAGAUAUUUUUAAAAGAAGAAUAAACAACAUUAUCUCUAAACGUGCUCCAAAACCCUCGAGUGGCCAAGUUUCUGCCGAGAGGAGCGAAUGUAAAGCACGGCGGUGAUGCAUUCACAGCACAGGAGCCGUGGUCGGAGAGCAGAGACGCAGACAGAGAGGGUUUUGUGGGUAAUUGACAGGCAGAGCUCCUUUACCAGCAGCUCUUUGUGUUUAUCAGCCCGGCCGAUCGAUGGUCAUCUUAACCCCGGGAGAGCGAGGGCCAGGAUGGAUGAAAAGUAAAGACUCCUCUUUUGUUGUGCGGGCAGCUCUGUCCAGCGCCAUCGGCAAAGCUCCCAGAAGGCCCUGCUCAGAAAAAUAUGAAAGAUUGGAGCCGUGUCAAAAAAAAAAAAAAGCUCGAAUAAAUCUUUCUAUAUUUCUUAUCCCCAAUGCACCCCAAAAUGCUUUCAAAUAUUUUGGUUGGGCUCUCACUUUGAGCCUCUCUUCAGUGACCCAUUUGGGUCCGGAGGGAGCAGCGAGCAGCGAGGAGCUGGAGGAGUGAAGCCGCAGAGUGACACAGUCGGAUUUUGAUCAUGCAAGCCAAUGCAAACUCGAAAACCACAGUAGCGCUCAGCUGCUGCUCGCUGCUCUGUUCUUUAUGUUGAAACUGGAUUUUUUAUUCCUGCCUGACAGGGUUAGCUUUCGUAACAUCAUGCAACCGCUCAAACUUUUCUGUGUCUGAGAGAAGUUUGUAACAUUUGGGGGGAAUUUUCUUAUUUACUGCGUUCAGAUGAGAAAAUCAAUAUCCUCUUUAUCUCCAUCAGCCAUUCGUCUUCUGCAGUGACCAACAUUUGCAGGCGUGCUAAGCCAACAUCUGACAUCUGGCUUUGGAUAUAAAAAUGAGAGCGCUAUCAUCUUUAGAUAAUGUUUGCAUGCCAACCCGGUAAUCCUAGAUUGUGAAAAUGAAGCACAUUUGAAAAAUUGGAUCGUCUUUUUUCUGUCUAGACUCUUAAAUGCCAGUAUUUUGGUUCCAGUAAUCUGGGAAGCCAGCCGUCGCUCUCAACCACAGCCCCCGUGGGAAAGAGACGAUGAAGUGACCGCCCGGGAGGUGACUCAGAAGUAGAGUCACUAUUUAGAUGCUGAAAGACGGUUUAAUUCCUCAUUUUAUCGUGUAAAAGGUUUUAUUUUAAGUCUCUGCUCUCUACCCAGGAGUCUUUGCUGCUGCUCUACCUGCGUUAACUUUUCAUAGAAGGUGUGAUCUCUCUGCCUCAGAACCGUACGGCCAAAUACGACGUGUUGCAUUCAGACAAUAAUUCUAUUUAAAGGUAGGGUAGGGAGGAUUAACGAAAUCCUGUCUACCCUACCUGCCUGGUCAAACACUCUCGUCUCCUGGUCCCAGAAGCUCAGAUCUGAACUGAAUCCUGAACGUUCAGCUGUGUGUCACUUCAGGAGAUCAAUCUCAGGCUCCUCCCGCUAAAUGAUUCGGUGAACGAAUCUUUUGAACGAAUCUUUUUAGUAAACUGAUUCUAGUGAUUCAGUACAUCUAAAAGAACUGCCGUGCCCAUCACUACUUUAUUCAUUCUUUCGCACUAUAACUUCUCCAGCUUUUAUUUUGGUACUUCCUGUUACCAGCAUUCUGAGUUUGCAUAUUCGCUAAAUAUUUAGUUUCACCCGAAACGUUUAAGAAUUUAAUAAUUAGCAUUUAGGUGCAACGUUUAAUAUUUAUAAAUGUGCUCCAAAGUGACUUUCAAAAAUUUACUUCACUUUUUAAAAACGGUUUGAUGCAAAAUGUGACAAAAUGUCGCCGUUAUUGUAAAAAAUGAGCAGCUUUAUAAACGGCACCACAUAGUAAUUGAUAAAUUAUUAACGUUUAAAACAGACAGUUUUCUUUCUGUUAAUCAAAUCACCUGAAGAAGGACUCAUCAGGAGUGUAGGAGUACUGAGUCUGUGUCUGUUUGACCUGAUGGUUGUGAUCCAGUCUCAGUAUUUAAUUCAGUUUCAUCUCAAACUUUAGAUGUUUCUGCCCCACACACACAGAGUCCUCAUCAUUGCAGUUUCUCGUUUACUUCUCCUGUCUCUCUGCAUCCGUCCUUCUGAGGAUAAAACUCCCAGUAAUGAACUUGUAAAGAUCAUGUCAGUCUCAUGUCACUCUGGUCCUAAAACCCUGACCCCGAUCCAUCUAAACCCCGUCUCUGCAGCUUCACUCGUCUCUCAGUGAAUUUGAUGGACAGAGGAAACCGGUCUCCUGAGAGAAAACAGCUCGGCCUGUCAGUUCUAUCUAAAACACUUGGGAACAAACAGCUCUUCAUAUCUCCUCCUUUUAUUUCCCUCUCUUCCUGUUGCUCUUUUAUUCCUCUGUAAACUUCUUCAACACUUCGUCACAGCCUCUCUUCUUUUAUCCGGUCUGAUCUUCAGUAAAAGACUUCGCAGUCGCUGUUGUGACUUUAGUGGAGCACCAAUAAAGUUUGUAACGUCUGCCUGUGUUCAGAGAGAAAAAAGCAGCAGCUCCUCGUUUUUGUUUUAUAUAAUCAACCCAUUUAGACUCUGCAGAAACCUCACUAACGUUUAAUGGACUUCUUCAUCACAGCAUAAACAGCUUUACAAGGAGGAACAUUAACGGGAUUGUUUUGUAUGUCAGCUGUAGUUUUAGUGGGACUAGGCCUGGAAAAUGUGGGGUUUAUAAGUCCAGGUCCCAGUACAGACCAAGUUUGCGACCUGGACUGGUAGUUUUACAGGAUCCAGCUCACAUCCAGUAGAGACCACACAGUAGAUGGAGGAUAACUGAGGUUUUACAGGCUUUUAGUUGAUGUAACUCGACUGUGAUAAUAAAAAACAGCUGUUGACAGACGAGCACCAAUCUCUAUAUCACGGUUUUAUCGUGCUGCAUCUUGAAAGGAGAGUAAAGGCUCAUUUCUGCUCGCCAUACCUAUUUCAAACGAUGGCUCCGUCGCUGCUCACAUACUUCCAUGCGUCCUUUACGUUGCCAUGGAUGUUAACCAUUACAUCCACCAGGGGGCAGGCUGGAGUCGAAAGUUUCUGACAACAACAACAAACAAAAAUGAAACACGGCGACUGUGGAGGAGCGAGUGAUAAUGUUUGUUUUUCGUAGGACAGAGCCAGCCCAAGGCAUAAGCGAACUAAGCGCCCACUUAGGGCCCUGCAGCCAGUAGGGGGCCCCCAAGAGCAAUCCAAAAUGAAUAAAUGUAAAUAUUUUUUAUUUUUUGCAUGUAUGAGUGAUGCUUUCUGUCUGAUCAAAUAUAUUAUUAUAAAAAUAAACUAAAGUGAAAAUAUUUCAGUGCUGCUGCUGCUGCUAUCUAUGAUUCUUACUGCCGAUAUGUUAAAGCUCCGCUACCGUAAUGUUCCUCCUGCUGUGAAAUGUGCACUGAGCAUCCAAAGAGCAGGUAGAUGUGGUGCAAAAAUAUGUCGCAAAAAAGGAGAUAUCCUUCAGGAGCCGAGAAAAGACAGAGGAAGAAGAGAAAAAACUCCAAGAUGUAGGUAUGUUUGCAUGUCAGGGAAUGUUAAUCAAAGAGAUUUGUGAAGGUGUGUGAAUGAUCAACAAUCAAUAUUAUUGGCAGAAAUAGAGGGCCCCAAAAUCACAUUUGGCCAGCCACAGUGAGGCUUGGGCCGGCUCUGUCGUAGGAGACAGAAACGGAGGCAGCGUUGGAGGAGGCGGUGGUCGGUCAGGACACUAAAUGUCUCGCAGUUAGAGGACGGAGGAUUCUUUUUCUCUAGUCGUACCGCUGAGAGAAACUAACGACGAUCCUCAAAAAGCCCCGCCAUUGUCUUCUGCGUUUCUCUCUAGAGAUGUGUAUCAGGUAUUGACAGCAGCAACACUGCCCCCAUGGUUUCUGGUGGUACUGCUCCAUCUGGCCCGUAUCAGUAAACUUCAAGGAUAUGUGCAAAAAUACGGAUGAAAAAAACGUGAAGCACGGACGGAGAGUUUGGUUCGUAUCCAGAUCGUUUUGUAACGUUGAGAAUAAAUGAGCCUUUAGAAAAUUUAGAUAUCAUCCCAGCUUUGUUUUCAAAAUGUUAAAAUCCAAAAAUCUGUCGUCAUGGCUGCCUCUCAAGGUUUUGAAACUCUCUCUUUAUUAAUGUAACAUAUAAUAUAAAAAUUCUUUCUCUGCUUGUUCUCCCCUUUAACUGUUUUGUGUUUCACUUCAUUAAACAAAAAAAAAAUAGUUAUUUUUUUACAGAAAACACAUCCUUCUUUAAGCCGUACUCUUAAAUGAAAGUCCCUGUGAUGGAGUCUGGUUCUCCGACUGUCUGUCUGCAUGGUUCCUCUCUGUAAUGUGUUCAGAGACUUAGUAAACCAAACUCUGAUGUUGUUUUACUUUGACUGGGUCCAUAAAGGAUGAGUCUUUGUGGAAAUAUUGCAGGAGGUAAAGAUUUAUUUUUCAUUUUAUUUUUACUCUGACAUGAGUUAUAAAAUUCAGCCGCUGCUUCCUCUGAGCAGAACGAGAAAAAAAAGGCGUUUAAGUCUCCAGAUCCUCGGUGAAAGUCCGAUUCAUCCUCGCCCUCGUCCCUGCCAGCUCCUGCAGUAAUUUACUCCAGGUCAGGUCGAGUCUGUGACCUGUUACCGGUCGACUUCAGACAGGGUGAGCUGAAGUUUCUGCUGCAGGGUGUUGGGGGUUAACACUUCUACUCCACUACAUCUCCUCGACUGACUGCACGCCGGCCUUUUGUCCUCUUCCUGUCCGCUGACAGGAAGUGCUGGUCAGGGGCUGGUACCUGCCAGACACUGUGACACGUUCACAAAGCGAGCAGAUUUCAGGAGAUUCGCCAAAAAGAAAGAGCGUGUCGUUGAAAAAAAAAAGGGGCUUUUACUCUGAAAGGCGGCGGUUGUCCGGCGGCUAUCAGCAGCUCUUUGUUGUCGGAGAAAAGCCGGCAGGUUCCGACACUUUAUCUGAUGGACAGACGCACCAGCUGACUGUGGACGCCGCCUCCGUCUGGGGUCAGAUUAAUCGCUGGGGCAGGGCCAACCCAGCCACCACUGUCUGAUUUUAACAACAGAAGCUGUUUGAAUGUCAUCUUAGUCAUGAAUGAAGCUCGCCACAGAGCAGCGCCGACCAGGAGAGCGUGCCGAUAACCCCGCAAACACGACUGUGAAAGGAGGAGCACGGGCUGCAGGAGUCGUAUUAAAGAUAAUGUAGUUCAGGAAUAAUGAAGGAAAAUAUUAACAAAAAAGAAAAAAUAAUAACCAGAAUGUCAAAACUGCUCCUGAGGUACAACAGUAGAUCGUUUAACCAAACUGUGUCUGCAGGUUCUGACUGCUUUGGACCGGGUUUAUUUAAACUCAUAUCCAAGAAUCAACCAGACUCUGGGCUCUAUUUUCGUGCCUCGCCAGAGACGUGCCACAAGCGCAGCGUCAGUCAGAUCCGCCGCGCUGACAAGGCGUUCCCAAGCACAUUUUGGUAUUUUGGUGAGCCGCGCAGCCCGGUGUAAGUAUCCCCCCUCCCUAACUCAGCUCCUCCCAGCAGGAUAAGUCGUAGACGGGGAGGAGAGAGGGCGUGGAGUGGGUUUAACACAGCCGAGAACUGUUUUCACCAAUCACAUAAGCUCCUCUCCUUGCCUUUAAAUCCGCCACCGGCGAGGCGUAUUACUAUUUUCAUGAAGUAGUCAAAGAGAUCAAGAGAUGUCUUAAGACAGCAAUGCCACAAGAUGGCGACAGAGGGCAGCUGCUCAACAAGUGUCCUCCACACUCUCUCAUAUGAGCACAGAUGGAUUUGGUGUGCGUAAUGUUGGACCCACUGGUAAGACAAACACCCUUUUCCACAAAUAAAGACACUCACAUAAAGUUGCUCAUAUUCAAACCUCACGUGACAAAGGUGGGUUGAGCGCACUGAUCACAACAUAAACUCCAAAAAUGGCAUUAAAAUUGGAACCAUCUGCGCCCUCCGCCGCCUCACCGGCACGCAAUAGAGCCCUCUGUGUUUAUACCCUGUGUUAAUAGUAACACACCAGCUGAACCUGUCUAAAGAUAACAGGAGCAAAAGCCCUGAUUGGUUAGAUUCAUGUUACGCCAAAAACACACCGAUGAAUGAUUGAAGGACAUAAUCCGACUUCUCUGUGCCUGUCGUCUCCGAACUGACCAAAAUGCUGUCGGACACUUAAAAUGUUAAAUUGAUAAAACUGUUGUUUGUACUUUACUGAACUUUUGUGUGACCAGAGACCGACAUUCGUGAAAAUAUUUGACACUUUUUACUUGGAAGAAAAACUCCAGUUGGCUCAGACCGAUCUUUAAGACCACGAAACCAACGAUCGAGGCGGUGAGAGUCCAUUUGAGGAAAGUCCAAGCAUAUUUAGCAGAUGACUUUAGAUGAAAAACUGGUAAAUGUUCCCAAGGUUGUUGAUGGUUAACUUUGGAGAAAUCAGGGUUUCAUUUGAGUAGAUCUUCCUGUAGCAUCGUCUGUUUGACGGCCGCGUAAAAAAACAACCUCAGAGUGUUGGAAAAUGUUCACCAACACAACAGUUUUAGUGCUAAAAUUUAAAAAUACAACUGUGUGGUUUUUAAGGGACAAACCGACAAUGGCCUCUUGGACUAGAUGCUGAUUUCCCUCAUUGGAUUCACACUUUGGCGCCCUCCUUUUUGGGUUUUUCCCUGAUAGACUCACAACAUCUCCAGAAGGUUGACUCUUUAGAUGCCAUCAACUCCUCAAAGGCCCAGGUUGGGUCUUUCCUCUCGAUCCAGUGACUCCCUUUUUCACGAGUCUUGGAGAGGUCUUUGACUGCCUGCCGGUGGACCUUCCCCUCGAUCUUCCAUCCGUCGAAAUAUCCCAGAUCUUGAGGUGUCUACUUCCACCGGGCGUACCUUCACUUUCCAGUCUUGUUGUCCUCAAAUUAAAUAUCCGAUCAAUCUUUGUUGACACACUCAGGUAAAUCAUUUUCCUGGGAAACACCCCCCUCAACAACAUCUGUCCUUUUAUUUUUAACUAGCAGCAGACAGGAUAUUUCAGGCAAAGCAACACCUCUCAUCCGUUUAAAGCUGCUCCUCUCCCUCUCGUUGGGGCGUCUUCCCUCUGAGGUCGGCGCAUUAAAAAUUGAAAGCGUUCUUUGUGUUGAUGCAAAAGGGAGAGAAAACAGCGACUGUGCUCCUUUGAGUGCUACUCCUGCGCUCUUAAAAAGCCGACAUCAAUGAGAGGCGGGGAGGACGGGGGGAGAAAAAAGAGAGAAAGAAGGAGUGGAAGAAAAAAAGGGACAUGAAGAAGUUGUUGUUGCUCUGUUUGUUUUUAAUGUUGGGAUUUAAAAAAAAGCUGUGGUUGUGGUAAGACGAGCACAUGCAGUACAUGAUGUUAGAUCCUUCUCCCCGAGGAGUCUCACACACACACUCACACGCACAAACACACACACACACGCACACACACACACACACACACACACACACACACGCACGCACACACACACACACAUACAUGCACACACACACACACACACACACACACACACACACACACACGCACGCACACACACAUAUAUUAAAAAAAGACAUCACAGCUGGUGCAGACAAACCCAACAAACAGCAGCCCCUCACUCACUCACUCACUGAUGCAUGUGCAGCAGCUACAGCAAACAGGCGUUACCGACCAUCCCUGAGGAAACGCACUCUUUUAUUCUAACGCAUCAUGCUGCAGCAGCCAAUCAGCAUUAAGAUUCAUUUAUCAAAAACUGAGGGAGGUAAAGAGAAAGAUAAAGAGAUAAAUAGACGCUGGCUCGGAGGAAAUCAUGGCGUUUAAGUACCCCUUCUCUUUACUUAUGUAAAUUUGCACUUAAAGGUGGGUUAGUCAGGAUCUGAGGAAGUUCCAGUUUUUAGGAGAAAUCUUGAAUGUAAACUCUACCCCUCCCAACCAGUUUUCCCCUCAGCUCCUCCUCUCCCCUCCCUCUCUGCUCCAGCAAGCCCCGCCCACAAACAGACGCUCCUGCUCGCUCGUAUCGUUCCAAUUAAAUUCAGAUAUAAUGCAGAUAAAUACUUCAGAUCAUUACAAAUGGGGCCCAGUCAAAGGUUACAGGGUCACCAGGAUCCCCAAGCGUCCCCCAUGGUUUAUGUUGACCCGGCUUUUUAGCUCUUGUCCGGUCUAC